rnacentral:ncRNA from 2 species
AAAUAAAAGCUGGGGAGCAAUUGCUGAGAGGAAGUUCGACUUCGACCCAUUUAACCUGACGGAUAAUGCCGGCGUAGGAAGUAUGUUUGAUUAUUUU